rnacentral:rRNA from 1 species
GACGAACGCUGGCGGCAUGCCUAACACAUGCAAGUCGAACGGAAGUAGCAAUACUUUAGUGGCGAACGGGUGAGUAACACGUGAGCAACCUGCCCUAUACAACGGGAUAACACAGAGAAAUUUGUGCUAAUACGGUAUAAGACCACAGUAUCGCAUGAUACAGGGGUAAAAGAUUUAUCGGUAUAGGAUGGGCUCGCGACCCAUUAGCUAGUUGGUGAGGUAACGGCCCACCAAGGCAACGAUGGGUAGCCGACCUGAGAGGGUGAUCGGCCACACUGGGACUGAGACACGGCCCAGACUCCUACGGGAGGCAGCAGUGGGGAAUAUUGGGCAAUGGAGGAAACUCUUACCCAGCAAUGCCGCGUGAAUGAAGAAGGUCUUCGGAUUGUAAAGUUCUUUAAUUGGGGACGAAAAAAAUG